rnacentral:ncRNA from 1 species
UUGAAACUUAGAAGUUCUUAGUGUUCUGUGAGUUAUUCAGCAAUGUUUGAACACGAUGUUCAAACAAGCCGCCACUGAGCCAUGGAUGGCGAAUUGGCGGUGGUUGCGUGAGAAAAUGAUGUGUAUAUCAGAACAGUUAGAACUUCUUAGUUUC